UACAACUUAUAAAAGUUGUGUUGAACUCAACAGGUUAAGUAACACACACGGUCAUAUUGAAUGGCACUCGGAACACAUUUUAUCACCAAUAAUUUUUUAGAGUAAAAGAAGAAUAAAUUAACUCGCACACAGCUUAUAAGAACAGAAGCCCAAUAAGAACUGUGAUUGACUUACCUGCUUCAGUUUGUGUGAAGACAAAAACAGUAAUCUGGCAUUCAGAUGGAUGACCUAUAAAGCAGCACUGGAGGAUUAGCUCAGCCUGGCAGACAUCCUGUUCUGCUGAGUGACAUUUUCUACUGCAGGGAAGCUGAACAGGGUUCAAAUUUGGAGCCACUUCCAGGGACACAAAUGCUUUUAAGCUUUUUCAAGGACAGCUUUUCAAAUGUCGUCAGGUGAUUUGUCAUUCACGUUAUGAACAAUGUUUUCCCCAAUUAUUCUGAAGGGACAGGAAAACUGCAGAGGUGUGGAGACUGAUGAAGACAAUACGGUCAAUCCUGGAAAUAAACCUGAUGGAGGCUGGAGAAGAAUUGAAACUGGGCUGGAGGUUCACCGUCCAGCAUGAGGACAACCUAAACAUACGAGUCAAAAACAAGACCUAAAUUCAACUGAGAAUUUUCUGGCAGAACUUGAAAAUCACUAUUCAAAGACACACUCCACUCAUUCCAAGAAUUUGUAACUUUUUCUGAUUUAUAAUUAACAAACAAACAAAAAAAAAACAUUUACAAAAAGUGUAGUUUUGCGUCAAAGCUAUGUACUACUUUGUGUCAGUCUAUCACAUAAAAUUUUGCUAAAGUACCAA